CAUCAUCAUCUUCUUCUUUGUUUCUCUCAUGCCCUAAUCACUCUUCAACCACAUCGAUGCUUUAACAUGUAGAUUUUUACGCUUUCGAAGAAUAUCUGAAUAUUCUUCAAAAAAAUUGCAUUAUUUCUUUCUUUCGCUCAUAUUGGAAGGAGAGAUAGAAUAUGGGUUCUAUGAACGAUGAUGCACGGCUUAUGGAAGAGGGUCUUCUUCAGCUCCGCAAAUUGUAACGAUUAGGAUUUUGGAUGGAGGAGCUGUUCGUUUAUCUCAAAGACAGAGCUUGGUAAAUUCCCUCAACACUAAACCUCAACGCAAUGAUUCUCUUGUUCCUCUCGCAGCAACUAUUGUUGCUUCUGGUGGAGGUUGCUUCUCUGCUCAAAUGCCCAUAAUCCGCAAUAUCCUGGUUUACAGUCAGAGUAUCUAGAGCUAUGGAACUUUGGUUAUACAAACCUUCUUAUUUUAAUGGUUUUUCUUUUUGUUAUUCAAGCCUCUUCGGCCUCCUAUAUUUGUGUCUUAUAUUUAUUUUGUUAAUGCUUCAGUAUGUGAUGAUUUUGUCGAAUAGGGGAGUGCCUAUUGCAUUUGGUGGCACUGAAGAGCCAAUUGAUAUGGAGGAAAAGAAAAAGAACCAAUAACUUUCAUUUGGUUAUUGUCACGAAAUAAGUCUAGUGAACUUUAUUUUAAUACAUUAAGCUGUGCAUGCGAGGCAUCCUUAUUCUUUGAUAACAAAUUAGAGAUAUCUCAUAUUUAAUGCCAUUUGUUUAAUACAGGUACUAGAGAUUCAUCCCACUAUUAAAUGGACAAAGGGAAGGCCCUGGAAUUUUUGUUAGAGUCAAUCGAUGAGUUUUAAUCUAAUACAUUCGAUUUUGGUUCUUGGUUUUAUUUGUAACAGAUAAACAUGCAAUAUAUGUUGGGAAAACUCGGUUCCCUCAAGCUCGGCUAAGGGGCCUUUGUGCGGAAGUCAAUCAACAAGAUCCUGAUCUCGGAUCUCGGCAAUACCUCAGCCUGAACUUCACCAGGUCAGGCAGCGCAGCGGAAAAAUCAAAACGUAAACACAGGAGGGAGAGAAGAAGAACACAACCAGAUUUAACGUGGGAAAACCUUCUUCAAUGAAGAAGUAAAAACCCACGGGACCUAGUCCAGAUCAAAAAUCCACUAUGAAAAUAAUGGUUACAACGAAUCAAAUACACCAAUGUGGUGGUUAACUCAACCUCUCCAACAAUGGUGAUAAUCAAACUACUCUAGAGAUGUUUAACUCAAACUCUCUCUAGAGAUUUCUCAAAUGCAAAGCAUAAAACCUUGCUCAAACAAUCAAAUAAUUCUCUCAAAUUUGUUCUCUCAAAUCUGACCUAGCCUCCACCCACAACUAAUGAGUAUAUAUAGAGGAGGUGGAAAUUAGGGUUAGGGUUUUUAGGAAACCCCUCAAAUGGGAUUGGGCUUGCAUUGAAGGAGGCCCAACGAUAUAUAUAUAUAUAUAUAUAUCCUACAGUUUUUUACUGAACUUUUAAGGUGAUCCAUUAUGAUGAACAAAUUGUAUAGGACACUAAAGUAAUAACACAUUAGAUUUUAUGUUGCUGAUUAUUUUUAUUUCUUGUCUGUGUGUGGAUAUGGUGGAUGGGGACCUCAGCAACAACUUCAAGCACUCAUGAAAACGCUUAACAAAAUAGAGCCUCAUUACAUUCGAUGUAUCAAGCCAAACUCUUUGAAUCAACCCCAACAGUUUGAGAAUACCAGCGUCAUACACCAGUUACGCUUGGGGAUUUGCCAACUAUAAUGAUGUCUUUCCUGUUUAUAUUGGUGAUGAUAGAACCGAUGAAGAUGCAUUCAAGGAAAUAAGAGACAAGGGACAAAGGUUUUGGUAUUCUUGUCUCGAAAUUUUCGAAGCAAACAACUACAUGAACCCAAUGAGGC